CCCUUAGACGUUCUGGGCCGCACGCGCGCUACACUGACCAGUGCAACAAGCAUCCGUCCUUGGCCGACAGGCUCGGGCAAUCUUUGAACGCUGGUCGUGAUGGGGAUAGACUUUUGCAAUUUUUGGUCUGCAACGAGGAAUUCCUAGUAAACGCAAGUCAUCAACUUGCAUUGAUUACGUCCCUGCCCUUUGUACACACCGCCCGUCGCACCUACCGAUUGAAUGGUCCGGUGAAGCCUCCGGAUUGGCGCGCACCUCGGUGCCGCCGAGAAGUUGGCUAAACCUUACCAUUUAGAGGAAGGUGAAGUCGUAACA
rnacentral:rRNA from 1 species